AAGAAAUUAAAUCAUUUUUGGGAAGCCCUCAAGGUACCAUAAGCUCUGGGCAGUGUGCCUAAGACUUCUAAUGGAGAAUUUAGCCCUGUGCAGAUGAUAUUGCAGAGGAGGAAUGCUUAGUUAAUUUAGGUAAAGUAUGCACAGUAAAUACAAUUUCAUAAAAAAGCUUAUAGUCUAUGGUGUUAUGUAAACAACUAUAGACAAAUAGAAUAUUGCUUUUAUUUGUUAUCCUGUGUUAAACUGUGGCCAAAAUUACACACAUCAGUGUUAGAAAAAUUGCAGUAUUGCAGGCUUGAAGUGGUCCCCUUGUUCAAAUUACUGGCCCCUGCUGAGUGCUGGAAUACCUUCAGGGCGAUGGAAAAUUGUGGCACUCUCUUUGAUUUUAGAUUUUGGGACCAAAGCUGGCUGAUCUUUUGAUGAGUCGGUCUUAAUGAUUUGCUCUUUUAGGCCUUAUUCAAGGAUACUGGGAACCUCACACUCUUCAGAAAAAAAAAAGUUUUCCUCCUGGCAGGCCUAUCAGUUCAGUUGAAUCAAUAUGUAUUAGGUACCUCCCAUAUAGCAGCCUGUGUGCUAGGUACAUGGGUAGAGAUUUAUUAAGAAGAAUGAAAUUCAAUCCCUUACUUAGGAGCUCACAGAUGUGCAUUAACAGAAAAAUUACAAUUCAAUCUAAUCAUUCUCAUGAGUCCCUAGUUCCAUUUGUAAUAGAAGGUCCAAGGAGCAUUUGAACUGUGACUCUCAGACCCUUACCUCUUACUCUGAACUCUCAACUUCAAUCAGCACAUGCUGUUUCUAGCAGCUCUCUUCUGUCUUGGAGUCCUCACUGAAGUCCUCUAGAGUAUGUCCCUAUUGUCCCUGAAAACUGAUGGUGCUGGCUUUUCCUUUCAAAGCCUUGUUUUAAUUCUAGAUUUAAAAUAGCACUAAUGCCACAAGAAGUCUCUUACACAAUGGUAGAGUUCUCUUUCCAUAGACUUUGGAACACUGUUCUUUUGGAAAUGUUUACAAUGACACUUAUAAGAACUGGCUAUAUAUAUAUUAAUCUGCUUUGUGGUGGAAAUAAAUAUUUUGUAGAAUGCUUUGAAGCUUAGGCAAUUAGUUCUUUUUAACAAAAAUUAAUUUAAUUUUCUUUUAAGUUCCAGGAUACCUGUGCAGGACAUGACAUGCAGGUUUGUCAUGUAGGUAAACAUGUGCCAUGGUGGUUUGCUGCACCUGUCGACCCAUCACCUAGGUAUUAAGCCCCACAUGCAUUAGCUAUUUUUCCUGAUGUUCUCCCUCCCUCCACCCCCUUGACAGGCCACAGUGUGUGUUGUUCCCCUCCCUGUGUCCAUGAGUUCUCAUUGUUCAGCUCCCACUUAUAAGUGAGAACAUGUGACGUUUGGCUUUCUGUUCCUGUGUUAGUCUGUGGAGGAUAUUGGCUUCCAGCUCCAACCAUGUCUCUGCAAAGGACAUGAUCUCAUUCCUUUUUAUGGCUGCAUAGUAUUCCAUGGUGUAUAUGUACCAGCAGUUAGUUCUUAAAUUAAAAAAAAAAGCUUUCAUAUUUAAUCAAGUUAGGUUAUUUCAAUAUAUGCACCAUAAUGAUUAUUGUAAAGUAAGUUCUGUAAACUAAGGAAAAAUAACUAUUUUGUGCAAUCUCAGAAAAAUCUACUAGAUGGUAUGGGAAACAAGAAAGAGAAAUGAAGAGGCAAAUAAAAACAUGGCAUUUAUUGAGUAGCUGUAUGCUGGGAGAUUUGAACAUUCUCCUUUCCUUUCCCCUAAUUUUACGUACAGAGAAGUAACUUCUUGAAGGUUGUAUGUUCCAGCUUGCAACUAGCCAUGUUGGAUUUAGAAACAGGUCAAAGUCAAGUUCCAUGCUUUCUUCCUGUCUCAUGAUAGCAUUCUCUCCCAUUCUCUACCUGCACAUAUAUAUUUCAUAAAACUAGAAAGAGGACUCCACUAUAUUUUACAUCAUUUCUUCAAAUGAAGAAGAGAUCUGAGUUCUUCAUACCUUCAACAUGUACUUACAUUCCAGGAAUUUAACUAUCCGUAAGAAGGAAAAAAUUGGACACGGAGAUAAGGACAGAGGAAAGAUGAUGUGAAGACAGGGGCAGAAGUCAGCCAUCUACAAGUCAAAGGGAGACAUGUGGAACAGAUUCACCCUCACAGCCCUCAGAUGGAAGCAACACCACUAACACUUUGCUCUUGGACUUCUAGCUUCCAGAACUGAGAGACAAUAUCUUUCUGUUGCUUAAGUCAUUCUGUCUGUGAUACUGUGUUUAUGGCAGCCCUGGCAAACUAAUACAGUCCCACAAAGAUUUGGUUGUUGCUUUGCAAGAGAAUGUAUAAUUCCUGGUUAUUUCUACAAAUAAGGGCAUUGACUUUAUAAAGCUACAAGUAUACCCCAGUAUUCUGUUUCUGGUUUUUGUUUACUUUCAUAUAUGCUAUCUUUUCAUUCCCAGGUGAAAUCAUAGUGCAUUUUAAAUGAUAUUUUAAAGAGCAAUUAUACUCGUCAUAUGUACUUCAAAUAAUACUGAUUCCUCAAUUGAAGUAAUGGUAACAUGAGUGUAUUAGUUAAUUUUUUCUGAAUAACUAGUUACCUCCAAAGUUCAUGCCUUCAAGCAACACAUAUUCAUUAUUUCACAGCUUCUUUGGGUCAGGAGUCUUGGCAUAGCUUAGCUGAGUCCUCUGGCUCCUGGCGUCCCAGGCUGUAAUCAAGGUGGUGGCCAGGACUGUAGUCAUGUCAGGGCUCGCCAGGGAAGGAUCUGCCUCCAAGCUAACCAGUGUGGCUUUUGGCAGAAUAUAUUUCUAUGCAGGUUGUUGGACUGAGUUUCUUGCUGGCUGUUCCAGAGGUUCCCUUAGCAUCUUGUCGUGUGGCCUCUUCAUAGGUCAAUUCAUAUUGGCUUCAUCAAAGUGAGCAGGUAAGAUAGCAAAAGAGAAUGCCCAAGAUAGAAGCCAUAGUCUUUUUGUAAUCUAAUCUUAGAAGUGACAGCCUGUUAUAUUUGCUAUAUUCUCUUUGUUAGAAACAAGUUUCUAGGGCUGGGCAUGGUGGCUCACAUCUGUAAUCCCAGCAUUUUGGGAGGCCGAGACAGGCAGAUCACCUGAGGUCAGGAGUUCGAGACCAGCCUGGCCAACAUGGCGAAAUCCUGUCUCUACUAAAAAUACAAAGCCGAGUGUGGUGGCGCAGGCCUGUAAUCCCAGCUACUUGGGAGGCUAAGGCAGGAGAAGCACUUGAACCUGGGUGGUGGAGGUUGCAGUGAGCCAAGAUUGUGCCACUGCACUCCAGCCUGGGUGACAGAGUGAGACUCCAUCUCAAAAAACAAACAAACAAAAAACCAAAUUACUAGGUUUGUCUCAUUCUCAAGGGAAGAGUUUACUCAAGAGAAUAAAUACCAGGAGGUUGGGAUCACUGGAGGCCAGUUUAGAGUCUGCCUACCAAUAGGAGCAAGGCCAUCAAUGUCAGUCAGUGACAUCAACAUCAUGUAGACUGCUUGGCCAACAGUAAUGCUAAAAUGCCAUCAAUCUUGAGAUCAUCUUCAUCUCAUAAAUAUUAACAUGUAAAAAAAGUCAUUUUAAAGUAAAGAAAAUAUGUUAUUUUUUAACAUUUGAAACAGCCCCUGAAGUCAUGUUUUAGAACAUUUUCUCAUCAUUUUUUGUGUGACUUUUAUAAUAUCUUUUAUAUUAUAUGUUAUAAUAGGGAAUAAAGAAAGUAAAAUAACUCCAAAUCAAAUUUUGAGCACUUACCAAUUAUUAAAUCAUUUAAACAGUCAGGAAAUGGAUACUACUGUGUUCUAGAAAUGGGUACCAACUCUCAAAAUGUUUCACAUACUCAUGGAAAUAACAUGGCUUUAAUGGAAGGGCUUAGGGAGUUCUGCUUCAAGCUGGCUGAUCAGAAAAAGGAGAAGCCUCAGAAAGGAAGUGGGAUCUGUACAUGCACCCAGGAAGCACAGCUUUAGUGUCAAUGGAGAAGUUUCGAAUAGCAAAAUUCUCCACUGAACUUGCUGAAAGCACGAGAGGAGAAAGAAGCAUUUGCAGGCCCAGAUGAUACCUAAGAGAGGACUGUGCAUUGCUUUUCAACCUCCACAUGUCAGUACUCAAGGGAUAAGCUGAAUUUUAAAAAUUUACUUUUGUAUUUGUUUCAUUGUAUAUUACUACCUGUUCACUAUAGCUAAUUGGGAAACUUACAAAAAUUAGAAAUAAUAAGAUUCCUCUUUCCCCAAAGUCACCACUAUCCUGAAUUUUAAAACUAGAGCUUACUUUUGCAAUCUUGACACUUUAUUUCACUACCGUCAUAUAGUAUCCUUCUGUGUCUCAGUCCUUUUUCUUUUUUUGACAUUGUUAUGAAGUUCAUCCAUGUUGUUGCAUGGGCUAAGGCUCAUUUUUAUUGCUGAAUAAUGUCAUAUUGUAUGAAUGUACUAAAUAUUCUUAGUCAUCCUUCUGUUGAGGGUAUUUGUGCUGUUUCCAGUUAGGACUUUCACAAAUCAUGGUUUCAUGAACAUUCUUUGUGAUGGCUAAUAUCAGGUGUCAACUUGAUUAGAUUGAGGGAUGCCUAGAUGGCUGGUCAUUGUUUCUGGGUGUGUCUGUGAGGGUGUUGCCAGAGGAGAUUGAUAUUUGAGUCAGUGGACUGGGAGAGGAAGAUCUCAUGCUCCUCAAUGUGAGUGGGAACCAUCCAAUCCAUGGCCAGCAGUCCUCUCUCAGACAAAAACAAAGCAGGUGGAAGAAGGUGGGAUAAGUUGGCUUGCUGAGUCUUCUGGCUUUCAUCUUUCUCCUGUGCUGGAUCGUUUUUGUCCUUGGACAUCAGACUCCAUGUUCUUCCGCCGUUGGACUCUUGGACUUACAGCAGUAGUUUUGCUGGGGGCUUUUGGGCCUUUGGCCACAGACUGAAAACUGCACUGUCAGCUUCUUUGGUUUUGAGGCUUUUGGACUCAGACUGAGGCACUAUUGGCUUCUUUCUUCCCCAGUUUGCAGAAGUCAUAUUGUGGACUUUGCCUUGUGAUCGUGUGAGCCAAUUCUUCCUAAUAAACUCUCUUUCAUAUAUACAUAUAUCCUAUUAGUUCUGUUCCUCCAGAGAACCCUGACUAAUAUACUCAUAGAUAUGCUUUUUGGUACACGAUUUCAAGCAUAUAUUUGGUGUAAACCUAAGAGUGAGAUUGUCACAUCACAGGACUUUCAAAUGCUCAACUUGAAUGGUUAAUGUUGAACUGCUUUCCAAAGAAGUGAGGCCAACUCAUACCCUACCAGUCAUGUUUCUCUGUUUUUUUUUCAAAGAUUUUGGUAGUAUCAGUCUUUGCAAUAUUAGCCAUUUUGUUGAGUAGGUAGUAGUGUGUCAUUUUGGUUUUCACUGGAUUUUGUGAUGACAAAUGAAGUUGAACACUUUUACUUAGCUAUACUUUCAGUUUAGUUUACUUGUAAUUAGUUACAGUGUUUAAUGGCUGUUUGGGUCUCUUCUUUCAUGAAGUGCCUAUUCUUGUCUUUUGCCUAUUGUUUCCUAUUGGCUUGUUUGCAUUUUUGUUAGUGAUUUCUAAAAAGUCUCUAUAUAUUUGGGAUAAGUGGCUGUGACUCAGUUUUAUAACGUAUAAAAUAGAAAUAAUAAUGCUCCCCACAUAUGACAUUGUUAUGAGGAGUGUAUUAGUUAAUACACAGAAAAGCUUCAAGCCAAAUGUGGCACAGAGUAAGUGCUCAGUAUUAUUGUGCUUAGCCGAAAGAACACUGCUAAGAACUGUGGACACAGAAAUCCAAAGAGGCCUUCUAACUUCCAUUCAACACAUUUUGCCUUGCACAACAACUUCUCAGAAGUUCUGAAACUCACUAUACUUGCCCCUAAUUGUGCCCCAGUACUAGCUUUAGUGAGAAGUACUGUGAUAAUUUUGUUACAAUCCCAACACUAUUUUUUAAAAUUGUAUUUUUCCUUGUAGAAGAAGGCAGUUUUCAAGCUGCAAAUUGAUAGGGAAGCACUUAUUCUCACAGGCACUGCAUGGUACAAUUGGCAUUUAGCAUGUUCAUUGCAAAAGUUUUAAAAGAAUAGCACUGCAGCAGGAGAAAGAGGAAGACAACGACAAUAACAACAACAACAAAGCAAAGUAAAAACUACUCCCUGAAUGCAGAAAUAAAAUGUAUUAAAAAUUAAAGGGUGCACAAUGGGAGCAAUUAAGUGUUUUAGGCCAAGUGCCCAUUCUUGCCUCAUCCAAAUUCCCUUGGUUCACUGGCCACAUUUAAGAAAAAAGGGACAAUUUUUAUCUUCUGCCCUAGUGAAAAUUGUUUUGCUCCCAGUAGCCAGACAAUAAAAAUUUCCUAUAAACAAAUAAACACACUUUAAUCACCGUGGUUAUUCUCCUUCUAUCAGUGGAAUUUUCACAGAUAAAGUUUGUUGAGGAGGAUAGAAAAACCACAAUUUAGGCCUUUGAAACCAAAAAUGACAGAAAAAUCUUUCAUUUAUUAUUCCUCGUGGACAAUAGCUCUUAAUAUCUUCCUUCUAGGUUUCUUAAUUAAAUUCAGCUUCUUAUAUUUUUCUCUUGAUUCACCCACUUUCAUUCCCAGAUUAACCUAGAUCUUCAUAACUAUAAUUUCUCAACUGUAAAAUUUCAUUUACCUCAUUUAAAUUUCUGUAGAUUUCUCUCCCCAAGUGGAAAGUUUGAUUAUUCACUCUUUCACCUUUCUCCCCAGGCAAUAAAACUAUGCUGCUUAGACUAGUGCUAACUGAUUUAUAAACAGUCAAAUAAAUUGCAUUAUUCUGUAUAAUUCAUAUAUGUGUGAAUAUAGAGUGACUUUAGAAAGUGACAGUGAUAGUCCUAGCCUGUGAAGAAUGGCCACCAUCUUCAAAGAUCCUUCUGAAGCGUUAUCUUUUCCACACAAUCUCUGAUUUCUUCUUGGGGAAAGGACUAGUUUUCUCUUUCAAAUCCCCCAGCAUGUCUCCAAGGGCAUUAUAGUUGAUUAGUUCAUUUUUUCCUGAUCAUCUGCUCCCUGCAUCUCCAUAGAGGAUGAGACAUACCUGCCUCUUGCUAUAUGACUUUCAGUGGCCCCCUGUGCUUUUCUGUCACUGGUGCCAGGCUUGGCCAAGUGACAUUCUUCAGUCAACGGAAGGGGAGCAGAUUAGUUCCUUCUGAGAGGAAGUUUUCAAAGGCAUUAUAAGUUUUUACCAGCUUCAUUGCUCUUUUCCUGUGCCAAGUUCCUUCGGCUUGGUCCCAAGAAUGAGAAGGCACAUGGAACCAUGGGACCUGAGCUGUGGCCUCCUACAUGUGACAUGAGCAAGAAAGAAAUAUCUGAGGUUUGGGGGUCAUUGGUUACUUCAGCACUUAGCACUUUAUUGAAAUUGUUUGUUUGUUUGUCUUAUUCAAGGUGCAUUCAGGAAAUGCAUCUUCUUCGUUGGAUGUCUGCAUAGUCUGGAGCUUGGCAGUUGGUGGGAGCUAAUAAAUGUUUGUGGAAUAAGUGAAUGAUUCAAUGAAGAUCUCCAAUGAGAAGCAUCUAUUAUCUGCCAUGGCAAUUGUGCUGACUGGAGAAUGUUUCUUACCCUGAGCAGAAAUUGAAUCCUCCUGUACUUCCACUAUGGGUUUUAGUUAUAUCCCUUAGGCUCCUAUAAAACCGUCUAAUUCCUCAUCCAUAUGACAGCCCUCUAAUGCCUGAAAGCAGUGCUACUAUUCAUCUUAGGAUUUUAUCUUUGCAGAAUAGGUAUUCCCAGUCCUUAUCCAUUUUGGUAUCUCCCAUGGUUUUAAUGUCCUUGGUUUCCUGGGGGUCCUCUUUGCAGGUGCUCUUGAUGCAUGUCUCUCUUAGCACAUGGGAUCUGCAAUUAGCAUCAUUAUCCAUGUGUGGUCAGAGUAGCACAGGGUGAGGAAAGAGUGUCUCCUCCCUCUGUCUAGACAAAUUAUACUGAGUCUAACACAGCCUCCAGUUGCCUUCACUGGUCUUGGCAGCCCCAUCAUGCUGCUGACCCAUGUGGAGUCAACCAAAUCCCUUAAGUCUUUUCCAGGAGCCUUUAUUGUCAAGCUCUGCCUCAACUUGUGCAGGUGGUUUGGGGAAUCCAAAUGUAGAUCUUUAUACUUUUCCCUGUUUGCCUACUCCCCUCAUUUCAUCUAGUUACUGAUUUCUGUCUACAGUAUUUUGGGAAAUGAAGGCUUUGGUUUCUGGGAAAGGAAAUGCAGCAGGUAGUCCACACAAAGGAGAAACAACUGUGUCUUGUUAAUCCUGGUAUGGCUAGAGAGCUCCAUUUUCAGGUUCUGCAAUGUAUACUUCACUAUGUGAGGUAGCUCAUUUCUAGUACUGUACUGUCUUUGCUUGGUUUCUCAGGGGGAAUAGAAGAGUAGCAUCAAUAGCACACACCAACAAGAAGCUCUAUGUGUGACAUAUAGACUGACUGUAAGGUGUUCCCCAUAACCCCUGCUUCCCGGUAAUCAUGCUCUUUGAUUAUCCCCUUGGCUUGAGUAUAGACAUGUCCUGUAACUUGCUUCUAUCCAAUGGAAUAUGGCAAAGCCAAUGGGAUAUAUGUGAUUGCAUGUACAUAAUUAUAUUUGGUGUGAUUGUAACAUUGCUUCCUUGCUGGCUGUGAGGAGCAAGGUUCUAGGCUGUGAUCUGUUCCCUGGGAAGAGGCCACAUAGUCAGAAACUGAGGGCAACUUCUAGCUGACAGCUAGCAAGAAGCUAAGGCCCUCAACCUGACAGCUUGCCAGAAACAGGAUGCUAUCAACAACCAAAUGGGCCUGGAAAAUGAUGCUUUCCCAGUCCACCCUUGAAGUGAGGUUGCAGCACUGGCUGAUGCCUUGAUUGCAGCUUCCAGAUGAGACUCUGAGGCAGAUGAUUCAACAAAGCCAGGCCCGACUCCUGAUCCAUGGAAACUGUGAUAUA
rnacentral:lncRNA from 10 species